UUUAAACUGAAAGACUCAAAAAAAAGUUUUUCGUAUAUAACGUUGUAUUGUUUUGCUCUGACAAAUUUGUUGAAUCUUAAGCUUACCUGAGCUUUUGUGAUUGCCUUUUGUCCGUCGUGUGUCAUGCGAUGUCAACAUUUACCUGUGAACACUAUAGGCCACAUGUAUUGUUGUAUCUUCAUGAAACCUGUACAGAAAUUUGUCCAAAUGAUAUUGUGACUGAGUUUGAAAUUGGUUCGGUCCGUUGAAAUACAUGGCCUCCAGGGGGCGGGGCAGUUUUCCAUAUAUGGCCAUAGUAAAACCUUGUUAACACUCUCAAAGUCUUAUUUACAAUCCAAUCUAGUAAACUAGGUCAAAACAUUUGUUCUAAUUAUGAGUGCAAAUUUUUUUCCUGUCUGUUGAAAGACAAGGCCACCACAUGCAGGGCAGUGUUCAUUAUAUGGCUAUAGUGGCUUUUGUAGAAGUCACAUUUUUAGUCCAAAAAUCCAUGAAAUAUCGUAGGAACACGUGUUCUAAGGAUACACAGGCCGCAUUCGAAAAUGGUUCCCGUCAAUUGAAAAAGUAUGGCCGCCAGGAGAUGGGGCAGUUUUCCUUAUAUGGCUAUACCUUGUUAACACUUUAGAAGUAUUAUUUUAAUCCAGUCUUCAUGAAACUUGGUCAGGACAUUUCUUCUAAAUAUAUCUCUGUUUAGUUUCUGGUCCAUUAAAAAACAGUCACCAUGGUAGGGCAGUUUUCAUAAUAUGGCCAUAGUAGUUAUAGUAAAACCUUGUUAACACUGUAGAAGUCACAUUUUUAGUCCAAUCUUUAUUGGUAGCAACAUUUAUUCUAAGAAUAUCAUGGCAGAGUUCUAAAAUGGUUGCAGUCCGUUAAAAAGCCGCCAGGGGACAGGGCAGUUUUUUAUAUGGCUAUAGUAAAACAUUGUCAACACUCGAGUUUAAUGUAAAAAUACUAUUCAGGUGAGCAACCAGGACUAGCAUAGCCCUCUUGUUCUGAAAAAUGUGCAUGUAAAAUUGUGCAGUAAACCUAUAAUAUAAAGAUUGUUGAAAUCUUGCCUCUGUGAUCGAAUUUGAAACUAUCAAAGGGGUGUGUCAACUGUUUUACAUGGACUCCUAGAAAUAUUAGUGAAACUGCAAAGCCCUCAGCUUUCAUGUUUGGUAUGUGACAAGUGAUAGUGAUCCUUACAAAGUUUGUUCAAAUCAUAUCCUUGGGGUCAAAUCGGCCACACCUCAGGAGUCAGUUGUUUGAUAGUGACUAUAUAACAAAAUAACUUUAAAAAUCUCUUGAAUUACAAGGUACUGAGCUUAAAUAUAUAUGGCAUGUAAAAUUAUAUAAUGGAACUCUUAAGUUUUAUAAUGUACUGGUAUAAUGAAACUCCAAGAAUAUUAUUAGGAGAAUAGAUCAUAUUAAAACCUGUUUGACUUGUAUUUAAAGCAACUGACAAAUUAUCUAUAUAAUGCAGGAAAUUGAUGACAACUGUGGUCACCGAUAAAUGCAAAACAUUUGGGGGUCCAAAAUGAGUUAAGGCGUGCCAAACCUCAACUACUGUGAAACCAUUUAUUUUUGUCAACAUUAAAUUUCAUAAUUAAAAAAAAAAUGACCAUUUUGUCAGCACUUUAAUUUGCCAAUUUCUGAUUUAGAAAUUUAUAAAAAAACAUGCAUCAGUAAAUAUACAAUUUGUUUGUUGUACAUGUCCCGCGAUAAAUUAUGAUGCCAGGGGCCGGGGCAUUUUUCCUUAUAUGGCUAUAGUAAAACCUUGUUAACACUCUAGCGGCAACAUUUAUUGUCUGAUCAUGAUGAAACUUGGUCAGAAGAUUUGUCCCAAUGAAAGCUUGGAGGAGUUUGAAAAAGGUUCGGGUUGCUUGAAAAACAUGGCUGCCAGGUGGGCGGGGCAAUUUUCCUUAUAUGGCUAUAGUAAAACCUUGUUAACACUCUAGUGGCAACAUUUAUUGUCUGAUCAUUAUGAAACUUGGUCAGAAGAUUUGUCCCAAUGAAAGCUUGGAGGAGUUUGAAAAAGGUUCGGGUUGCUUGAAAAACAUGGCUGCCAGGUGGGCGGGGCAAUUUUCCGUAUAUGGUUAAAGUUAAACCUUGUUAACACUCUAGAGGCCGCAUUUAUUGUCUAUUCUUCAUGAAAUUUGGUCAGAUGAUUUGACCCAAUGAUAUCUCGGACGAGUUUGAAAUG